rnacentral:rRNA from 1 species
UUAAGCGACUAAGCGUACACGGUGGAUGCCCUGGCAGUCAGAGGCGAUGAAGGACGUGCUAAUCUGCGAAAAGCGUCGGUAAGGUGAUAUGAACCGUUAUAACCGGCGAUGUCCGAAUGGGGAAACCCAGUGCAAUUCGUUGCACUAUCGUUAACUGAAUACAUAGGUUAACGAGGCGAACCGGGGGAACUGAAACAUCUAAGUACCCCGAGGAAAAGAAAUCAACCGAGAUUCCCCCAGUAGCGGCGAGCGAACGGGGAGCAGCCCAGAGUCUGAAUCAGCUUGUGUGUUAGUGGAACGGUCUGGAAAGUCCGACGGUACAGGGUGAUAGUCCCGUACACCAAAAUGCACAGGUUGUGAACUCGAAGAGUAGGGCGGGACACGUGGUAUCCUGUCUGAAUAUGGGGGGACCAUCCUCCAAGGCUAAAUACUCCUGACUGACCGAUAGUGAACCAGUACCGUGAGGGAAAGGCGAAAAGAACCCCGGCGAGGGGAGUGAAAAAGAACCUGAAACCGUGUACGUACAAGCAGUGGGAGCACCUUCGGGUGUGACUGCGUACCUUUUGUAUAAUGGGUCAGCGACUUAUAUUCUGUAGCAAGGUUAACCGUAUAGGGGAGCCGCAGGGAAACCGAGUCUUAACUGGGCGUUAAGUUGCAGGGUAUAGACCCGAAACCCGGUGAUCUAGCCAUGGGCAGGUUGAAGGUUGGGUAACACUAACUGGAGGACCGAACCGACUAAUGUUGAAAAAUUAGCGGAUGACUUGUGGCUGGGGGUGAAAGGCCAAUCAAACCGGGAGAUAGCUGGUUCUCCCCGAAAGCUAUUUAGGUAGCGCCUCGUGAAUUCAUCUUCGGGGGUAGAGCACUGUUUCGGCUAGGGGGUCAUCCCGACUUACCAACCCGAUGCAAACUACGAAUACCGAAGAAUGUUAUCACGGGAGACACACGGCGGGUGCUAACGUCCGUCGUGAAGAGGGAAACAACCCAGACCGCCAGCUAAGGUCCCAAAGUCAUGGUUAAGUGGGAAACGAUGUGGGAAGGCACAGACAGCCAGGAUGUUGGCUUAGAAGCAGCCAUCAUUUAAAGAAAGCGUAAUAGCUCACUGGUCGAGUCGGCCUGCGCGGAAGAUGUAACGGGGCUAAACCAUGCACCGAAGCUGCGGCAGCGACACUAUGUGUUGUUGGGUAGGGGAGCGUUCUGUAAGCCUGCGAAGGUGACCUGUGAGGCAUGCUGGAGGUAUCAGAAGUGCGAAUGCUGACAUAAGUAACGAUAAAGCGGGUGAAAAGCCCGCUCGCCGGAAGACCAAGGGUUCCUGUCCAACGUUAAUCGGGGCAGGGUGAGUCGACCCCUAAGGCGAGGCCGAAAGGCGUAGUCGAUGGGAAACAGGUUAAUAUUCCUGUACUUGGUGUUACUGCGAAGGGGGGACGGAGAAGGCUAUGUUAGCCGGGCGACGGUUGUCCCGGUUUAAGCAUGUAGGCUGGUUGUCCAGGCAAAUCCGGAUAAUCAAGGCUGAGGUGUGAUGACGAGGCACUACGGUGCUGAAGUAACAAAUGCCCUGCUUCCAGGAAAAGCCUCUAAGCAUCAGGUAACAUUAAAUCGUACCCCAAACCGACACAGGUGGUCAGGUAGAGAAUACCAAGGCGCUUGAGAGAACUCGGGUGAAGGAACUAGGCAAAAUGGUGCCGUAACUUCGGGAGAAGGCACGCUGGUGUGUAGGUGAAGCCCCUGCGGAUGGAGCUGAGACCAGUCGAAGAUACCAGCUGGCUGCAACUGUUUAUUAAAAACACAGCACUGUGCAAACACGAAAGUGGACGUAUACGGUGUGACGCCUGCCCGGUGCCGGAAGGUUAAUUGAUGGGGUUAUCCGUAAGGAGAAGCUCUUGAUCGAAGCCCCGGUAAACGGCGGCCGUAACUAUAACGGUCCUAAGGUAGCGAAAUUCCUUGUCGGGUAAGUUCCGACCUGCACGAAUGGCGUAAUGAUGGCCAGGCUGUCUCCACCCGAGACUCAGUGAAAUUGAACUCGCUGUGAAGAUGCAGUGUACCCGCGGCAAGACGGAAAGACCCCGUGAACCUUUACUAUAGCUUGACACUGAACAUUGAGCCUUGAUGUGUAGGAUAGGUGGGAGGCUUUGAAGCGUGGACGCCAGUCUGCGUGGAGCCAACCUUGAAAUACCACCCUUUAAUGUUUGAUGUUCUAACGUUGGCCCCUGACCGGGGUUGCGGACAGUGUCUGGUGGGUAGUUUGACUGGGGCGGUCUCCUCCCAAAGCGUAACGGAGGAGCACGAAGGUUAGCUAAUCCUGGUCGGACAUCAGGAGGUUAGUGCAAUGGCAUAAGCUAGCUUGACUGCGAGCGUGACGGCGCGAGCAGGUGCGAAAGCAGGUCAUAGUGAUCCGGUGGUUCUGAAUGGAAGGGCCAUCGCUCAACGGAUAAAAGGUACUCCGGGGAUAACAGGCUGAUACCGCCCAAGAGUUCAUAUCGACGGCGGUGUUUGGCACCUCGAUGUCGGCUCAUCACAUCCUGGGGCUGAAGUAGGUCCCAAGGGUAUGGCUGUUCGCCAUUUAAAGUGGUACGCGAGCUGGGUUUAGAACGUCGUGAGACAGUUCGGUCCCUAUCUGCCGUGGGCGCUGGAGAAUUGAGGGGGGCUGCUCCUAGUACGAGAGGACCGGAGUGGACGCAUCACUGGUGUUCGGGUUGUCAUGCCAAUGGCACUGCCCGGUAGCUAAAUGCGGAAGAGAUAAGUGCUGAAAGCAUCUAAGCACGAAACUUGCCCCGAGAUGAGUUCUCCCUGAGACUAUAAGUCUCCUGAAGGAACGUUAAAGACGAUGACGUUGAUAGGCCGGGUGUGUAAGCGCAGCGAUGCGUUGAGCUAACCGGUACUAAUGAACCGUGAGGCUUAACCUU